rnacentral:rRNA from 1 species
GUUAUAACCGGCGAUUUCCGAAUGGGGAAACCCAGUGUGAUUCGUCACACUAUCAUUAACUGAAUCCAUAGGUUAAUGAGGCGAACCGGGGGAACUGAAACAUCUAAGUACCCCGAGGAAAAGAAAUCAACCGAGAUUCCCCCAGUAGCGGCGAGCGAACGGGGAGCAGCCCAGAGCCUGAAUCAGUGUGUGUGUUAGUGGAAGCGUCUGGAAAGGCGCGCGAUACAGGGUGACAGCCCCGUACACAAAAAUGCACAUGCUGUGAGCUCGAUGAGUAGGGCGGGACACGUGGUAUCCUGUCUGAAUAUGGGGGGACCAUCCUCCAAGGCUAAAUACUCCUGACUGACCGAUAGUGAACCAGUACCGUGAGGGAAAGGCGAAAAGAACCCCGGCGAGGGGAGUGAAAAAGAACCUGAAACCGUGUACGUACAAGCAGUGGGAGCACGCUUAGGCGUGUGACUGCGUACCUUUUGUAUAAUGGGUCAGCGACUUAUAUUCUGUAGCAAGGUUAACCGAAUAGGGGAGCCGAAGGGAAACCGAGUCUUAACUGGGCGUUAAGUUGCAGGGUAUAGACCCGAAACCCGGUGAUCUAGCCAUGGGCAGGUUGAAGGUUGGGUAACACUAACUGGAGGACCGAACCGACUAAUGUUGAAAAAUUAGCGGAUGACUUGUGGCUGGGGGUGAAAGGCCAAUCAAACCGGGAGAUAGCUGGUUCUCCCCGAAAGCUAUUUAGGUAGCGCCUCGUGAAUUCAUCUCCGGGGGUAGAGCACUGUUUCGGCAAGGGGGUCAUCCCGACUUACCAACCCGAUGCAAACUACGAAUACCGGAGAAUGUUAUCACGGGAGACACACGGCGGGUGCUAACGUCCGUCGUGAAGAGGGAAACAACCCAGACCGCCAGCUAAGGUCCCAAAGUCAUGGUUAAGUGGGAAACGAUGUGGGAAGGCCCAGACAGCCAGGAUGUUGGCUUAGAAGCAGCCAUCAUUUAAAGAAAGCGUAAUAGCUCACUGGUCGAGUCGGCCUGCGCGGAAGAUGUAACGGGGCUAAACCAUGCACCGAAGCUGCGGCAGCGACGCUUAUGCGUUGUUGGGUAGGGGAGCGUUCUGUAAGCCUGCGAAGGUGUGCUGUGAGGCAUGCUGGAGGUAUCAGAAGUGCGAAUGCUGACAUAAGUAACGAUAAAGCGGGUGAAAAGCCCGCUCGCCGGAAGACCAAGGGUUCCUGUCCAACGUUAAUCGGGGCAGGGUGAGUCGACCCCUAAGGCGAGGCCGAAAGGCGUAGUCGAUGGGAAACAGGUUAAUAUUCCUGUACUUGGUGUUACUGCGAAGGGGGGACGGAGAAGGCUAUGUUGGCCGGGCGACGGUUGUCCCGGUUUAAGCGUGUAGGCUGGUUUUCCAGGCAAAUCCGGAAAAUCAAGGCUGAGGCGUGAUGA